rnacentral:rRNA from 1 species
CGCCAGCCCGCUCAGAAACUCAAAGGAAUUGACGGGGGCCCGCACAAGCGGUGGAGCAUGUGGUUUAAUUCGAUGAUACGCGAGGAACCUUACCUGGGCUCAAAUGUAUGUUGACGUAUUCUGAAAGGGAUACUUCUUCGGACAAUAUACAAGGUGCUGCAUGGUUGUCGUCAGCUCGUGCCGUGAGGUGUCGGGUUAAGUCCCAUAACGAGCGCAACCCCUAUCAUUAGUUGCCAUCAGGUCAAGCUGGGGACUCUAAUGAAACUGCCUACGCAAGUAGUGAGGAAGGUGGGGAUGACGUCAAAUCAGCACGGCCCUUACGUCCAGGGCUACACACGUGCUACAAUGGCCGGUACAAAGGGCAGCUACCUGGUGACAGGAUGCUAAUCUCAAAAGCCGGUCUCAGUUCGGAUCGGAGUCUGCAACCCGACUCCGUGAAGCUGGAAUCGUUAGUAAUCGCGCAUCAGCCAUGGCGCGGUGAAUACGUUCCCGGGCCUU